UAUUGAAAGCUUGCUUUCCUUAGGCGUCGACCGGCGAAUGGGUGAGGUAACGCGUAUCCAACCUGCCCCUGAGUAAGGGAUAGCCCAUCGAAAGAUGGAUUAAUACCUUAUGGUCUCCUUUGCAGACAUCUAAUUAGGAGUAAAAGAUUUUAUCGCUGAGGGAUGGGGAUGCGUCUGAUUAGCUUGUUGGCGGGGUAACGGCCCACCAAGGCAACGAUCAGUAGGGGUUCUGAGAGGAAGGUCCCCCACAUUGGUACUGAGACACGGACCAAACUCCUACGGGAGGCAGCAGUGAGGAAUAUUGGUCAAUGGACGGAAGUCUGAACCAGCCAAGUAGCGUGCAGGAAUGACUGCCCUAUGGGUUGUAAACUGCUUUUAUACGGGGAUAAAGUCAGGGUCGUGACCCUGUUUGCAGGUACCGUAUGAAUAAGGAUCGGCUAAUUCCGUGCCAGCAGCAGC
rnacentral:rRNA from 1 species